rnacentral:rRNA from 1 species
UACGUAGGGCGCAAGCGUUGUCCGGAAUUAUUGGGCGUAAAGAGCUCGUAGGCGGCUUGUCACGUCGGAUGUGAAAGCCCGGGGCUUAACUCCGGGUCUGCAUUCGAUACGGGCUGGCUGGAGUGUGGUAGGGGAGAUCGGAAUUCCUGGUGUAGCGGUGAAAUGCGCAGAUAUCAGGAGGAACACCGGUGGCGAAGGCGGAUCUCUGGGCCAUUACUGACGCUGAGGAGCGAAAGCGUGGGGAGCGAACAGG